CUCCAAAGAAUCUACAAAGAUGCUUGGAAUGCUCGACCGUUUCUAUCGUCUCUGCGAAUGGCGAUACGAUACGACUCCUCUUUUUUCCAUCGAUUAACAAAAAUACACCAUAAAUGUUUUCUUGAAAAGGAAUAUAUUCGACUCACGACGACAAGGUGAGACUUAACGGUCAACUUGCCGGGAAGAUACGUUUUCAAUGAAGUUUUAUUGCGAAACACUUUUCAAAUAUUACGUGAUAAUUGAGUAUAAUAAUACAGAUUAACUUAUGAGACAAUUGACAUUAUUUCGAAUUUUAUCGUUUCUGUAUUUGCCAAUAUGAAUUUAGACAAAUUAGCCGACGUGUUUUAUUUGUGAAGAGUUAGUUUGCUCAAUUUAAGCAAGUAAAUUUUUAUUUUUUAUAUCGGAAAUAAGUUUUCAUAUAUUAAUUAUAUGGGGCAUUAUUAUUAAUUGGAAUACCAUUGUUAAUCGUCGUAGAAUUUUAUUAAAUUUUAUUUUUCGUA